GACGAACGCUGGCGGCGUGCUUAACACAUGUAAGUCGAACGGAAAGGCCCUGCUUUUGUGGGGUGCUCGAGUGGCGAACGGGUGAGUAACACGUGAGUAACCUGCCCUUGACUUUGGGAUAACUUCAGGAAACUGGGGCUAAUACCGGAUAGGAGCUCCUGCUGCAUGGUGGGGGUUGGAAAGUUUCGGCGGUUGGGGAUGGACUCGCGGCUUAUCAGCUUGUUGGUGGGGUAGUGGCUUACCAAGGCUUUGACGGGUAGCCGGCCUGAGAGGGUGACCGGCCACAUUGGGACUGAGAUACGGCCCAGACUCCUACGGGAGGCAGCAGUGGGGAAUAUUGCACAAUGGGCGGAAGCCUGAUGCAGCAACGCCGCGUGCGGGAUGACGGCCUUCGGGUUGUAAACCGCUUUCGCCUGUGACGAAGCGUGAGUGACGGUAAUGGGUAAAGAAGCACCGGCUAACUACGUG
rnacentral:rRNA from 1 species